rnacentral:rRNA from 1 species
UAUGAGUACUAUCCGGGAGACAGACUGCGGGUGCUAACGUCCGUAGUCAAGAGGAAAACAAUCCAGACCGCCAGCUAAGGCCCCAAAAUCAUAGUUAAGUGGGAAACGAUGUGGGAAGGCAUAGACAGCUAGGAGGUUGGCUUAGAAGCAGCCACCCUUUAAAGAAAGCGUAAUAGCUCACUAGUCGAGUCGGCCUGCGCGGAAGAUGUAACGGGGCUAAAACUAUGUGCCGAAGCUGCGGAUGUAACUUUAAGUUACGUGGUAGGGGAGCGUUCUGUAAGCCGAUGAAGGUGGAUUGAGAAGUCUGCUGGAGGUAUCAGAAGUGCGAAUGCUGACGUGAGUAACGACAAAACGGGUGAAAAACCCGUUCGCCGAAAGACCAAGGGUUCCAGUCCAACGUUAAUCGGGGCUGGGUGAGUCGACCCCUAAGGCGAGGCCGAAAGGCGUAGUCGAUGGGAAAUUGGUUAAUAUUCCAAUACUUCUGUGUAAUGCGAUGAGAGGACGGAGAAGGUUAGGUCAGCCUGGCGUUGGUUGUCCAGGUGGAAGACAGUAGGCAUGCAUCUUAGGCAAAUCCGGGGUGCUCUAUGCUGAGAGUCGAUAGCAAGCUAGUUUACUAGCGAAGUGGCUGAUACCAUACUUCCAAGAAAAGUCUCUAAGCUACAGUUACACAGGAAUCGUACCCGAAACCGACACAGGUGGUCAGGUCGAGUAGACCAAGGCGCUUGAGAGAACUCUGCUGAAGGAACUAGGCAAAAUGGUACCGUAACUUCGGGAGAAGGUACGCUGUUGAUGGUGAUGGGACUUGCUCCCUGAGCGAUUGACAGCCGCAGAAACCAGGCCGCUGCAACUGUUUAUUAAAAACAUAGCACUCUGCAAACACGAAAGUGGACGUAUAGGGUGUGAUGCCUGCCCGGUGCUGGAAGGUUAAUUGAUGGGGUUAGCGUAAGCGAAGCUCUUGAUCGAAGCCCCAGUAAACGGCGGCCGUAACUAUAACGGUCCUAAGGUAGCGAAAUUCCUUGUCGGGUAAGUUCCGACCUGCACGAAUGGCAUAAUGAUGGCGGCGCUGUCUCCAGCAGAGGCUCAGUGAAAUCGAAUUCGCCGUGAAGAUGCGGUGUACCCGCGGCUAGACGGAAAGACCCCGUGAACCUUUACUGCAGCUUGACAUUGAACUUUGACCUUACUUGUGUAGGAUAGGUGGGAGGCUAUGAAGAUGGGACGCCAGUUCCAUUGGAGCCAUCCUUGAAAUACCACCCUGGUAAUGUUGAGGUUCUAACUCUGCCCCGUAAUCCGGGGCGAGGACCAUGUCUGGUGGGUAGUUUGACUGGGGCGGUCUCCUCCUAAAGAGUAACGGAGGAGUACGAAGGUGCGCUCAGCGUGGUCGGAAAUCACGCGUAGAGUAUAAAGGCAAAAGCGCGCUUAACUGCGAGACCCACAAGUCGAGCAGGUACGAAAGUAGGUCUUAGUGAUCCGGUGGUUCUGUAUGGAAGGGCCAUCGCUCAACGGAUAAAAGGUACUCUGGGGAUAACAGGCUGAUACCGCCCAAGAGUUCAUAUCGACGGCGGUGUUUGGCACCUCGAUGUCGGCUCAUCUCAUCCUGGGGCUGAAGCAGGUCCCAAGGGUAUGGCUGUUCGCCAUUUAAAGAGGUACGCGAGCUGGGUUUAGAACGUCGUGAGACAGUUCGGUCCCUAUCUACCGUGGGCGCUGGAAAUUUGAGAGGAUCUGCUCCUAGUACGAGAGGACCAGAGUGGACGAACCUCUGGUGUACCGGUUGUGACGCCAGUCGCAUCGCCGGGUAGCUAUGUUCGGAAGGGAUAACCGCUGAAAGCAUCUAAGCGGGAAGCCUACCUCAAGAUAAGAUUUCCCUAGGAAUUUAUUCCUCUAAAGAGCCGUUCAAGACUAGGACGUUGAUAGGUUGGAUGUGGAAGCAUAGUGAUAUGUGAAGCUGACCAAUACUAAUUGCUCGUGAGGCUUGACUAUACAACACCCAAACAGUUG